UACGGGGGGGGCAAGCGUUGUCCGGAAUUAUUGGGCGUAAAGAGCUCGUAGGCGGUCUGUCGCGUCGGCUGUGAAAUCCCGAGGCUCAACCUCGGGCCUGCAGUCGAUACGGGCAAACUGGAGUGUUGCAGGGGAGACUGGAAUUCCUGGUGUAGCGGUGGAAUGCGCAGAUAUCAGGAGGAACACCGGUGGCGAAGGCGGGUCUCUGGGCUGUGAACUGACGCUGAGGAGCGAAAGCGUGGGUAGCGAACAGGA
rnacentral:rRNA from 1 species